rnacentral:rRNA from 1 species
CCUGCGUUCGAGAGAACCCAGGUUAAGGAACUCGGCAAAUUGACACCGUAACUUCGGGAUAAGGUGUGCCAGAGGUAGGUGAAGGGCUUGCGCCUGGAGCCGAUUCUGGUUGCAACAAAGCGGCGGUAGCGACUGUUUACUAAAAACACAGGGCUCUGCGAAACCGUAAGGUGACGUAUAGGGCCUGACGCCUGCCCGGUGCCGGAAGGUUAAGGGGAGUUGUCAGCGCAAGCGAAGCGACGAACUGAAGCCCCGGUAAACGGCGGCCGUAACUAUAACGGUCCUAAGGUAGCGAAAUUCCUUGUCGGGUAAGUUCCGACCUGCACGAGGGCGUAACGACUUCCGCGCUGUCUCGACCUGGGACUCGGCGAAAUCGACAUGGGGGUGAAGAUGCCCUCUACCCGCGGCAAGACGGAAAGACCCUGUGAACCUUUACUGUAGCUUGGCAGUGGUAUUCGGUUCAUUCUGUGUAGGAUAGGUGGGAGCCUAUGAGUCGGGCACGCUAGUGUCCGAGGAGGCACCGUUGAAAUACCACCCUGGAUGUGCUGGAUACCUAACCCCUUCGGGGGGACACUGCCUGGUAGGCAGUUUGACUGGGGCGGUCGCCUCCUAAAGAGUAACGGAGGCGCGCAAAGGUUCCCUCAGCCAGAUCGGAAACCUGGCGAAGAGUGUAAUCGUAUAAGGGAGCUUGACUGCAAGACCGACAGGUCAAGCAGGUGCGAAAGCAGGCGAUAGUGAUCCGGUGGUUCCACGUGGACGGGCCAUCGCUCAUCGAAUAAAAGGUACUCCGGGGAUAACAGGCUUAUCGCGCCCAAGAGUUCAUAUCGACGGCGCGGUUUGGCACCUCGAUGUCGGCUCAUCGCAUCCUGGGGCUGGAGCAGGUCCCAAGGGUAUGGCUGUUCGCCAUUUAAAGCGGUACGCGAGCUGGGUUUAGAACGUCGUGAGACAGUUCGGUCCCUAUCUGCCGUGGGCGUAGGAAGGUUGAGAGGAGCUGUCCUUAGUACGAGAGGACCGGGAUGGACGUACCUCUGGUGUUCCAGUUGUCGUGCCAACGGCAUUGCUGGGUAGCCACGUACGGUCGGAAUAACCGCUGAAAGCAUCUAAGUGGGAAAUCCUCCUCGAGAUGAGCCUUCCCUGAAGGACCCAGAAAGACUAUCUGGUUGAUAGGCCGGAGGUGCAGGCCCAGCAAUGGGUACAGCUUACCGGUACUAAUCGUCCGAUCGGCUUUUCAUC